rnacentral:lncRNA from 1 species
GGUGGAUGCGGCCUCGAUUAGCGGGGGAACCACAUGAAAAAAAGCGAGCUACUGGGUGUACCUCCUGGGUAGUUUGGAAAUCACCUAAGAUAUAUAUGUAUAUAUUUAUAAAUAAAAGUUAAUAUAUAUAAAUUAACAUUAAUUUUUUUUAACAGGAAAUGCACAAUGCUAAAAACUGCGUAGGAGAUUUUAAUACAAUAGUACUACCAAGCCUGAUGUUGGCCGCUAUUUCAAUGAAUGCAGCAGUGUCACAGCUAGCAAUCAAAAGUAACAAGAUAUUGAGGAAAUGCAGAUGGCAAUAAACUGUGUAGGAGUUCAUGAUUGCAAUAGAAUAAAAUCGACCAAGCCUGAAGUCAGCAGCCCCUUCAAUGAAUGCAGCAGUGUGACAGCCAGCAAUCAAAAGUUACAAGAUAUCGAGGAAAUGCAGAAGGCAAAAAACUGCGUAGGAGAUCAUUAAUACAAAAGUAUUAUAUAAACCAAACCUGAUGUUGCCAGCUCCUUCAAUGAAUGCAGCAGUGUGACAGCCAGCAAUCAAAAGUAACAAGAUAUCGAGGAAAUGCAGAAGGCAAAAAACUGCAUAGGAGAUCAUUAAUACAAUAGUAUUAUAUAAACCAAGCCUGAUGUUGGCCGCUCAUUCAAAGAAUGCAGCAGUGUGACAGCCAGCAAUCAAAAGUAACAAGAUGUCGAGGAAAUGCAGAGUGCAAUAAACUUUGUAGGAGAUUAUGAUUGCAAUAGAAUAAAAUCGACCAAGCCUGAAGUUCUUCAAUGCACGCAGCAGUGUGACAGCCAGCAAUCAAAAGUUACAAGAUAUCGAGGAAAUGCAGAAGGCAAAAAACUGCGUAGGAGAUUAUUAAUACAAUAGUAUUAUAUCAACCAAGCCUGAUGUCGGUAGCUUCUUCAAUGAAUGCAGCAGUGUGACAGCCAGCAAUCAAUAGUGAUAGUGACAAGAAUCUAGGAAAUACAGAAGGCAAAGAAGCAGAUGUCAUCAAAGAAGAUCUUUGUUCCUGCAAUGUUUCCGCAGACGAUACAUCCAACAGAGCGAAGUGGAAGGAAAAGACUCGGAAAAAAGACCCCACCACCAUAUGGGAACAAUGCAAGGGAGAGAGAGAGAAUAUAAUUUUAUAUUUUUAUUUUUUGAUAACAUAAAAUAAACCAACAAUAUCCUACACAUUUUUUUUAUUUCUUUUUGUGUCUGUCUUAAUAGUUAUUACAAAUCUGUGAUGCGAAACAAACUA